rnacentral:rRNA from 1 species
AGAACGAACGCUGGCGGCAUGCCUAACACAUGCAAGUCGAACGAGAUCUUCGGGUCUAGUGGCGCACGGGUGCGUAACGCGUGGGAAUCUGCCCUUUGGUUCGGAAUAACAGUUGGAAACGACUGCUAAUACCGGAUGAUGACGAAAGUCCAAAGAUUUAUCGCCAGAGGAUGAGCCCGCGUAGGAUUAGCUAGUUGGUGUGGUAAAGGCGCACCAAGGCGACGAUCCUUAGCUGGUCUGAGAGGAUGAUCAGCCACACUGGGACUGAGACACGGCCCAGACUCCUACGGGAGGCAGCAGUGGGGAAUAUUGGACAAUGGGCGAAAGCCUGAUCCAGCAAUGUCGCGUGAGUGAUGAAGGCCUUAGGGUUGUAAAGCUCUUUACCCGGAUGAUAAUGACAGUACCGGAGAAUAAGCUCCGGCUAACUCCGUAGCCGAGCGGCCGC